rnacentral:rRNA from 1 species
AUGCAGAGGAAUGCCGUGGAAACAUGACAGUCAGCAAUGACCUCUGUGUAGGUGCUGCAUGGUUGUCGUCAGCUUGUACCGUGAGGUGUCGGCUUAAGUGCCAUAACGAGCGCAACCCCCACCGGUAGUUACCAUCAGGUAAUGCUGGGGACUCUACCGGGACUGCCGCCGUAAGGUGCGAGGAAGGUGGGGAUGACGUCAAAUCAGCACGGCCCUUACGUCCGGGGCGACACACGUGUUACAAUGGGGGGGACAAAGGGCCGCUACCUGGCGACAGGAUGCCAAUCUCCAAACCCCCUCUCAGUUCGGAUCGGAGUCUGCAACCCGACUCCGUGAAGCUGGAUUCGCUAGUAAUCGCGCAUCAGCCAUGGCGCGGUGAAUACGUUCCCGGGCCUUGUACACACCGCCCGUCAAGCCAUGAAAGCCGGGGGUACCUGAAGUGCGUAACCGCAAGGAGCGCCCUAGGGUAAAACUGGUGAUUGGGGCU